UCCUACGGGGGGCAGCAGUGAGGGAUCUUCGGCAAUGGGGGCAACCCUGACCGAGCAACGCCGCGUGCGGGAGGACGCCUUUCGGGGUGUAAACCGCUUUUCUGGGGGACGAGGCUAGUACGGACGGUACCCCAGGAAGAAGUCUCGGCUAACUACGUGCCAGCAGCCGCGGUAAUACGUAGGAGACGAGCGUUGUCCGGAGUUACUGGGCGUAAAGGGUGCGCAGGUGGCGGCGCGCGUGGGGGGUGAAAUCGCCCGGCUUAACUGGGCGGGGGCCUUCCAGACGGCGUGGCUUGAGCAGCGGAGGGGGACGUGGAAUUCCGGGUGGAGCGGUGAAAUGCGUAGAGAUCCGGAGGAACACCGACGGCGCAGGCAGCGUCCUGGCCGCUUGCUGACACUGAGGCACGAAAGCUGGGGGAGCAAACAGGAUUAGAUACCCCGGUAGU
rnacentral:rRNA from 1 species